CGUUUUUCUGUAGUUCACUAUGGAAAAGUUACUUGCAACUUUGGCAUUUGACCAAAGAUCUCGGGUGUUAAAUAGUUGGAAACCAUGUUGAAUUGGCUUUGGUAAUGCAAAGUGGGAGGGGGGCCACAUAAUGAAUCACUGCUGUCUGUAUGUAUAAAACCAAUUGGAGCUCUAUUAGAUGCAAGGCUAAAUUCCAUGUGUUAGUAUUUAGAAUUGUCCCGGUAAUAUAUAAAACAAACACCAUUGCAAAGUCCACAACUUGCUUUAUGUGGAGUGAACUGGUAUCUGAGGUGCGUAUAAAGGGUUUUUAUUUUCUUCCUUCCCAGAAGUGAGAUGUGUAAGUGUUUGGAGAGUUUGUGCAAAGCUAAAUUUGUUUUAAAACUUCUGAAUUUCUUGUAUGCAUGGUGCACAGUUUGCUUCACUUCUGAAUUUCCUUUAUAAGUUUAAUUUGUUUUGGAUUGCACCAACUGACAUGCAGAGGCUUUUGUAGUAUGUGAGGAAGGACUAGGCUGCAGACACAUGGGUUAUCGUGCUGGAAUGGCUUGUAUAAGAACCAGAGGACUGCGGCAAAAUGGCGCCACUAAAACCGCAUGCAGUGAUUAUGUUGCAUGACUGACCCAUAAUUGGUUAAGAUGCAAAAUGUGUGUAUAUAUAU